rnacentral:lncRNA from 1 species
AAUAACACUAGCAUUUUGACAUAUUUGGAGCUGCUACUGGGCCAGCUCUGUUUCCAGGCCUGCCUUUCAAUCUUUUCCUUGCUUCUGGCAUGAGUUACCAUCUCUUUUAAGAAAUUGGUUAUGCAUUUGAAAAUACACGUAGCUAUACAUACUUUAAACAUAUCAUUUAGCAAGGAUGCUCCUUAUCGGACCGUUGCUGGGAACAGAGAACACGACAGUUCCAGGCUGUUUCCAAGAUUGGAUGAAGAGAUUCAAUUGACAAUGCUGUGAAGAGAGGGAUUUGGAGCUUGUUGGGGGAGGUAGUGUUGACUUCCUUGUGCAAUCUAGGAUUGAGUGGGGGAUGCAGUUGGAAGGCAAGAGAAGUAAGACUCCUCCAUCUUCCUGGUCCAGAGAAAUUAUGCUGGAUCCCCCUACCCUUAAUGAGAAAGGAGGUGUUUGUGUUUCCAGCAUCUAUGAGAUCUGAUUGCUAAUGUAGCUACCUUUAAAGAAUUCUGCUAUUUACAAUAAAAGUGAGAUCUCCCUCCUCCAUUUCCUGCCAAUUAUAGAGGCAGUCCUAUUUCAAAAUGCCAUUAAGCAUCCUUCUGAGCUGCGGAAAGUCAUAGGACCAGUCUUCAGCCGUGCCCAUUACAGUAGCAGUGACAGCACACCACUUUGCUCAUGAUACGGAUCAGGGUUAAUUUUCAAGUUUUGGAUGGUUCUCCCUCUUUGAGUUACCAUUUGUUUCUGCUUAUAACCUACUGAUCAUGCCUUUAGUACUAAGUAAAUAUUGAAAAGGGAAAGCCUUAGGUGGCUUGCGAAGGCUCUGAUGUAAAUAUGUGUUGCUGAGACGGGGAAGUGAAGGUGUUGGAUUAUGCAUGACUUUCACAUGUGUUCUUAUACCACAUUCGGUUAAUUUUCAAGUUUUGGGUGAUUUCCCCUCUUUGAGUUGCCAUUUGUUUCUGGUUACAACCCCUGAAAUAACAGCGCUCUCCAGCCAGAGGGAGAUUUGCCCCCCUUCCCCCAUGCAGGAGAUUCUCCUGUGGCGGCUCUGCAGAUCCAGGGAGCCCCACGACCAGACCUGGGAGAAAUUUUGGAAGCUGAGAGCAUCCUCACAGCAGCAGGCAGAACAGACAAGUGGGCCUGGGUCUCACAACCCUAAGGCAUUGAAUUCCACCAUGGAAUCAGAUCACAGCCAGACCUUUCCCA